rnacentral:tRNA from 1 species
GCCCCGGUAGUAUAGUGGUCUAGUAUCGAGGCCUGUCGAGCCUUGGGCUUGGGUUCAAAUCCCAACCGGGGCG